GACGAACGCUGGCGGCGUGCUUAACACAUGCAAGUCGAACGGUGAAGGGAAGCUUGCUUCCCGGAUCAGUGGCGAACGGGUGAGUAACACGUGGGCAAUCUGCCCCAGACUUUGGGAUAACUACUCGAAAGAGUAGCUAAUACCGAAUAUUCAGCCUUGCAGGCAUCUGCGAGGCUGGAAAGUUUCUCGGUCUGGGAUGAGCCGCGGCCUAUCAGCUAGUUGGUAAGGUAAUGGCUCACCAAGGCGACGACGGGUAGCCGGCCUGAGAGGGCGACCGGCCACACUGGGACUGAGACACGGCCCAGACUCCUACGGGAGGCAGCAGUGGGGAAUAUUGCGCAAUGGGCGAAAGCCUGACGCAGCAACGCCGCGUGCGGGAUGAAGGCCUCGGUGUAACG
rnacentral:rRNA from 1 species